rnacentral:misc_RNA from 1 species
GAUGAAGAACGUAGCGAAAUGCGAUAAGUAAUGCGAAUUGCAGAAUUUCCGUGAGUCAUCGAAUCUUUGAACGUAUAUUGCGCCCGCCAGCACUCUGGCGGGCAUGCCUGUUCGAGCGUCAUUUCAACCCUCAGGCCUCGCGUCUGGCGUUGGGGCGCUGCGGCCCUCCCGCAGGCCCCCAAAUCUAGCGGCGGAUCCGCCGCGGCCCUGAGCGCAGUAGUUUGACUCGAACGCUCCGGCGGCCGUCGCGCGGUUCUGCCUCCCGCCCCAUAGCGCCGAUGGCGCUACUCCCAAAAGUUGACCUCGGAUCAGGUAGGACUACCCGCUGAACUUAAGCAUAUCAAUAAGCGGAGGA